UACGUAGGGGUCUAGCGUUGUCCGGAAUUAUUGGGCGUAAAGAGCUCGUAGGCGGUUCGGCAAGUCGGAUGUGAAAUCUCCACGCUUAACGUGGAGGGGCCAGUUCGAAACUGCCGUGACUCGAGUCCGGUAGGGGAGUUCGGAAUUCCCGGUGUAGCGGUGAAAUGCGCAGAUAUCGGGAGGAACACCAGUGGCGAAGGCGGAACUCUGGGCCGGAACUGACGCUGAGGAGCGAAAGCGUGGGGAGCGAACAGG
rnacentral:rRNA from 1 species